UACGUAGGGCGCAAGCGUUAUCCGGAAUUAUUGGGCGUAAAGAGCUCGUAGGCGGUUUGUCGCGUCUGCCGUGAAAGUCCGGGGCUCAACCCCGGAUCUGCGGUGGGUACGGGCAGACUAGAGUGAUGUAGGGGAGACUGGAAUUCCUGGUGUAGCGGUGAAAUGCGCAGAUAUCAGGAGGAACACCGGUGGCGAAGGCGGGUCUCUGGGCCGAUACUGACGCUGAGGAGCGAAAGCGUGGGUAGCAAACAGG
rnacentral:rRNA from 1 species